GAAGCUUCGCAACCUCGCAACUUUAAAAAAAAGGCCUGGAGGCAGGGCCUUCUGCUCUUGGCCAAUGCUUGGCUGUCUGCUGAAGUACAGUCCAAUCUCAAGUCAUAUUUACUGGAUAGAAGGAUUGACAGACUGCUCCGCCAAUGACAGACGCGCACAGGAUACGUGUUCAGGAAGCACGGCUCCCUGGACGGGCUGGCUGUCUCCGUCCAAGCGGUGCAUGGAUGUGGAAAAGAAAUCUGCUACGGGUAGUAAGUAGCUCAGAGCGGUUUGUUCAUCAGCGCGAUGUCACCCGUGGUGUUGUGUCGGGAGAUGCAGUAACUGAACCAGCGCACUGAAGACAAGGCAGCAUGCUGCAGUCAUCACUCACAGGAGGACGAAAAGAAGGAGGAGAGCAACAGAAAAAAUAACUUCCAAACAAUAGAAUAAAUACCUUUUAAUCCAC